UCCCCGGUAGCUCAGUGGUAGAGCAGAAAGCUGUUAACUUUAAGGUCGUAGGUUCGAAUCCUACCCGGGGAGCCG
rnacentral:tRNA from 1 species